UUGGACUCUUUACAAGUUUUUCUAAACGUUGGCAAUUAAAGUCGAUACGUGGGCCUUUAUUGGCCUGAUGAAAACAUCACGGAAUUUCGAUAUUUUGUCUCUAACAACCAUAAGUAUUCCAGAAUUCACCGACUCAAACGUUCAAUCGACUGAAGAAAAAAACCCUAAUUCAACAAAGUUAAUAGCAUCAACGGUUUCUGAUUGUAAGAUGAAACAGAGAUAGGGAAGAAACAGCACGGCAAGGAUCGAAUGCUCAUAACCAAAAUGCUUACGUUUACGCCAUUCGAGGAUCCUGUGUGUACAGCUGAUGGCACCUUAUUCGAUAUAAUGUGAGAAUUCUUAUUUUCAUAAUUUUAGAUUAAUUUGAGUAUUUUAGGUUUAAGAGAUUAUUUAGGUUUUAAGUUUGGGAUUUUUGUGCACUUGCUGGACUAUAGCUCCCAAUAUUAGAAAGUAUGGGGAACAUCCUGUUACCAGGAGCCCACCGAAGCUGAGCGAUUUAAUCCCAAUUACUUUUCACAAGAAUGCUGAAGGUUGGAUUCUUUUACUCUAUUUUAACUGUUUAGUUCAAUUUUGCUGUGUAGGAUUGUUCAUUUGUUUUUUUUUUUUUUUUUCUUUUUUUCUAAAGCUUUAGCGAUGCAUGGUACUUGAUGGCCUGAGUUUUGAGGAAAUGGGUGACAAUUUAGAAAUGGUCUGAUUCAAGUUAAAUUUAUGAGUGCGAUUCAAGGAUUUUAAUAAAGUCUUAGUUUUGACAUUGGGUGGGCUUUUUAUAGGAAUAUGCUUUCUCUAAUGAAUGUGUUUUACCUGCAAAUUUUUUAAUGAUUGUGGUAUUGCUUAUGUGUGGUUGUGUUUAAGAGUUUGGCUUGAAAAUUGUGUAGGAACUUAUACUAAACUAACUUGAGCUGUUCCAUUUUCAUCAUUCUGUGGUGAGCAGGUUUUUUAGGAUGACAAAUAGAUCAAAUAUCUUCUAAAUGAGCGUAGUUUAUAAACUGUUGUACAUCUGUAUGCGGGUUAUGGAGUCGUGGUAGUGAAGAUGAUAUAAUGAUAAUCUUGAAGGACUAGAGAAUGUGUUGACUUGUUUUUGAGGCAGGGCAGUUUGCUGGUGAAGUUAGAGCCUCUAGACUGUUAUUAUUCUUGGAUGAGCCCUAAUAGGCUUUCGAUUUGCUAGGACUGCCAAUCAAGUCUUAGUUCUCAAGUGACAUUUUCUUUUCAGGAGGUAAAAAGAAUAUCAGCACUAGGGAAUAGCUGUAGUUCUUGGAAAAAUUCCACUGUAAGGCAAAGUGGUAUGGUGAAGGAAGAUAAAGUAAACUUUCCAAGUGUAGCUUUUGUUUGGUAUGUGAAUUCAUGAAUAAUAGAUGUAUUGGUAUUAUCUGAAUAUAGUUUUAAUUGAAUGAACAGAGAGAAGAGAUCUUCAACAACUUGCUUGUUGAUGGGAAUAUGAUGGACGCAGUAUAGCAGAUUUCUGAUGUCACUAUCUCUAUAAGCUCAUAGAUUUUGCAAUGGAAAGUUUUGCAUUGCUACUUCUGCUUUCCCAUUAUUGUUAUUCUUAAUGUUGGUAAAAUUGUGUGCAUUCCUAAACAACCAUGAAAUACAUGGGUAUGAUACUUGUAUGAUAUCAUAAAUUCAAUCCUAUAGACCAAGUGUCUUUAUCUUGUUUUUGAGUUCUAUAUUCCUCUCAUUUACUACUAUUGUAUCUUAAUAAUAUAAAACUUUUCACUUUCUUUGCAAGAGAGUAUCAUUGCCCCAUGCUAAAUAAAGUUUUCACUGAAUUUACUCACACUGUUGCUACCAGGACUACAGGGAACGUGUUCUGUAAUGACGUAUGUGUUUUGGAUUGUCAUCACUUUUAGUGAUAUUACUUCAAGUUCAUGUAGAUAAAUUCUUUAUUUGUGAACUCUUGUCUUAUAGGCAAUCAAAUAAUUAAACAUCAAGAAAGAGCUCCUAACUGAUGAACCUUUCACUAAGGAAGACCUUAUAACAAUUGAGGUAAUUAGUUGUUUUGAACAUAUGAUGUUUAACUUUGUUGAUUGCAUGGUGGUGGUUUUAAGUGGCAUGAGUUUUAUGAUUUACGAGGACUUUUUUUGGUGGUGUGCUUUGCAAGGUUACUCUUGAUUUUGAUCAUGUUAAAAUAGGUCUAAAACUUGAUGAUGAAGGUAAGCCAUGCCAUUUGCCACUCUUGUAAUGUCAGUUUUAAAGUUUUCUUUUCUUUUUUUCCUUAAUGAUUGCAACAUCUUGUUUUCCAUUCUCUAGAAUUAAAGAAAAAUGGAUUCAGAUCCAACCUAUAACAUGAACAUUGCUGGAGAUAUCAAGCAGAUGUUAGUCAAUUAAAAUUCAUCGGAUGUAAUUUUCUAGUUGGUUUAUUGGCAACUCUUAAUAUUAAUAAAAUGUUGCUAUGUACCUCUGUAGCAAUUUUAUGAUCCAAGGUGGUGAUCCUACUGGUACUAGAAAAGGAGGUGAAUCUAUAUAGGGAAAGCCCUUGAAAGAUGAAGUGAACUCCAAGUUGCUUCACUCUGGACAGUAUGGCAAACAGUGGUCCACACACAAAUGGUUCCCAGUUCUUCACUUUGUAUAAAUCUGCAAAUAAUUUAAACUUCAAACAUACAGUUUUUGGAUGAGAUGUUGGUGGUUUGACUGCAUUGGCAGCGAUGGAGAAAGUUCCUGUUGAUGACAAUGAUCGACCUCUAGUGAGUUCUUUGUUUAGUAUUAAUCUCUCCAAAACUACAUAUAUUUUAAACCUGUAUCUAUUUUUGACUGCUUUAUGUUUUACAAUUAAAUAGUAUUCCCUAACUGAUGAUAGCUGUCAUGCGUAUUUAGCAUAUGAUCUUUUUGGGAAGCAAGACCUCUUGUUAAUAUUAGUCUUUUAUGCCUUUUGAAUUUUGGUGAAUGUCGUGGUAGGAAUCAGUAUAUUAUUUGGUAACAUAUGUUAUUUGGAAGGCACUGUUUUAAAAACCGGACCGGACCAGGACCCGGUCACGUGUCCGAUUCGAGUCACCAUCAAACCAGUAAUUACACACUAACUCGCUUUAAACCGUUUGAAAACCGGAUAUAAUGAGUAAAUCGGCGAUCCAACCGGAUCGGCGGAAAAACCGGUCGAAUGUGAAAAAGCCCUAACUCUACGCAAUCGCAAUCGCAAUCGCAAGCCCAUGCAUUCUGAAAUUUGAAUCUGAUUUCAUCUCUGUUUCUCAUAUUUCUCAACUUCUUCCCCUACACAAAUUCCUCUUUGAAAUCGCAUUCAAAUCGCAAUCAUUCACCAAAUCGCAAGUUCUCAACUGAACUCUCUCAAAUUGAUGCUGACACGUUCCUCCCUCGUCGAAAAUCGACGACGACAACAACUCCAUUCCUUGCUAGAAAUUAACGACGAUGACGGCUACUCCAUUCCUUGCUAGAAAUCGACGGCAGCUCCAUUCCUGGACGACGACAGCUCCGUUCCUCGCUGGAAAUCGACGGCGAUGGCGACAGCUACAUUCGUCGACGACAGCUCCAUUCCUCGACGAUGCAGGUUCAUCUCUAAUAAGAUUAGAAUUUUGGAGAAACUCUAGUUCAACCAUCUAGCAGGAGGAAUGCUUGCUUGCUGAAUUAAAUGUUGAUGAACUUUUCCUGUGUAUUUGCGUUUUGCUAAAGGUAGUUUGUUUCCAAAGAACGUUGGUGCUCAAUGAAAUAGAAUCCCUUAUAUUUACUUUUUCUGCGGAAUUAAAUGUUCAUGAACUUUUUCUGCGUAUUUGCA